rnacentral:rRNA from 1 species
GACGUAGGGCGCGAGCGUUGUCCGGAUUUAUUGGGCGUAAAGAGCUCGUAGGCGGCUUGUUGCGUCAGCUGUGAAAACCCGCAGCUCAACUGUGGGCUUGCAGCUGAUACGGGCAGGCUUGAGUUCGGUAGGGGAGACUGGAAUUCCUGGUGUAGCGGUGAAAUGCGCAGAUAUCAGGAGGAACACCGGUGGCGAAGGCGGGUCUCUGGGCCUGUACUGACGCUGAGGAACGAAAGCGUGGGGAGCGAACAGG